rnacentral:lncRNA from 10 species
GGAGUGAAGCAGGGCAGAGUGGAGAGGGAGAGCAGCUGCAGAGUGGGGGUGGGCAUCAGCCGGAAGAGCCUCCCCGUCCUGGCCUGGCCACACCUCUGGCACUGCAACCUGGAGGCCAGCCUCACCUCCCAGUCCUGACCUGCCUGCCCCUGACAGUCCAGACCUACUGUGCAUGUCGCUGGGCUGCUGAGAAGCAUCUUGGGGUAUUUAGGCAAACUGUGCCCUGCCAGACCUUUUAGGUGUACAUGGGGCAUUUUCUUCCACCCCCCUCUCCUUUUCUUUCUCUCUCUUUUUGGUGAGCUCCUCUUCCCCUAGAAUCUAUAGAAAAGAAACCUUGAACUCGAAGCCUGACCUGCUUCCUUGCUUUGGUCUGCUGCCUUCCCUCUUCCCUUCAGCUCUGGGCUUUGUGCAGGGAGACAGUGACCCCAUGAACGUGCGUUUCCUGCCUGACAUCCUCUGUCCUAUUGGGAAGUCACUCCCACUCAUUGGAAGUCACUUAGCCCUAUUCCCUCUUCUUGGGCCCCCCGCAGGGCUCAAGAUAUUUCUCUGACAAGGCUGCUGAGUGAAUUGAUAAGUGAUUUGGAAACAGACAAGGCUAGGUGGCAAGGAAAAACACUACUCUCCCAUCUGUCACCCUCUUCCUAAAAGGGUGUCUUUCAGUUAUGGAAAAAUACUUUGGGCAACAUAGAGCAAUUGUUUUUGCUAAGUGUGGUGCCUGGUGCAGUAAUGGAACUGGCUAGCAUAGAAAACAGAUAGUUUUAAGUAGUUUUAGUUGUGAUUUGGUUGUUGCAAUGAAAGCUCCUGUAAUCCAUGGUAACUAUUGUGCUAUAUCUUUGUGCUAUUUUCUUGGCAUCCUACCAUCAAAAUCACCUGGGAUUUUUCUUUUUCUUUUUCUUUUUCUUUUUCUUUUUUUUUUGAGGUGGAGUCUAUAGCUCUGUUGCCCAGGCUGGAGUGCAGUGGCACGAUCUUGG